GGAGAUGUAGCUCAGUGGAAGAGCAUUUGCCUGUUAAACAAGGCCAUGGGUUCAAUUUAUCAACACUG
rnacentral:tRNA from 1 species